rnacentral:rRNA from 1 species
GACGAACCGAGCGACCGUUGUUCGGAAUCACUGGGCUUAAAGGGCGCGUAGGCGGGCGGUCAAGUCAGGGGUGAAAGCCCCCAGCUCAACUGGGGAAGUGCCUCUGAUACUGGCCGUCUCGAGGGGGAUAGGGGCGUGCGGAACUUCCGGUGGAGCGGUGAAAUGCGUAGAUAUCGGAAGGAACAUCGGUGGCGAAAGCGGCGCGCUGGGUCCCUUCUGACGCUGAGGCGCGAAAGCCAGGGGAGCGAACGGG